GACGAACGCUGGCGGCGUGCUUAACACAUGCAAGUCGAACGGAAAGGCCCCCACUUUUUUGGUGGGGGUGCUCGAGUGGCGAACGGGUGAGUAACACGUGGGUGAUCUGCCCUGUACUUCGGGAUAAGCUUGGGAAACUGGGUCUAAUACCGGAUAGGACCAUGGUUUAGUGUCUCAUGGUGGAAAAAUUAUUGUUUUGGUGCAGGAUGAGCUCGCGGCCUAUCAACUUGUUGGUGGGGUAAUGGCCUACCAAGGCGUCGACGGGUAGCCGGCCUGAGAGGGUGGACGGCCACAUUGGGACUGAGAUACGGCCCAGACUCCUACGGGAGGCAGCAGUGGGGAAUAUUGCACAAUGGGCGCAAGCCUGAUGCAGCGACGCCGCGUGGGGGAUGACGGCCUUCGGGUUGUAAACUCCUUUCGUUAGGGACGAAGCCGCACCUUUUUUGGGUGUGGUGACGGUACCUUUGUGAAGAAGCACCGGCUAACUACGUG
rnacentral:rRNA from 1 species